UGUGUCCUCCUUCUUGCUCACUGUUCAGAUCCCAUCCCAGUUGGGUCUAGAAAUGAACAGUGGAUAGUCAAGAAGAAAGGUAUGCUCUGGUGGGCAGUCUCCCAAGUCGGGAGACAGGGACAAGGGGGUUGGAGCCGGGCUUCGUCGCCGGACCUAGUCCGAAGUCUGGAGUCCCGAUGUGUAGUGCGGCAGGCGAGGCAGAGAGAGGGGUUUGCGCCGCCGUGGUCCGACGACGAGCCGACGAGGGUGUGAGGAAGAUUUGGGAGUGAGGGGUUGCAAGGGGAGGGCCGGCCCCAGCCUGUCGGCGCGGCGAGCGGCCGCUGCGCAGCCUCUACCUGCCCCCGGUGCCCGUCUCCGUCGGCGACAGCGGCCGCUAGGGCCGGAGCCGCCACGACGGCGUGGUCGCCGUCUACGUCGAGGAGGUCGUGGGCCGCGCGGGCCGUUAGCGGCUAGAGAAGUGGGACAUGGAGCCGCACUUGAGCUUCGUCGCUCUGCUCCUGGGCCGCUCCCUCUGGAGCUUGUUCGAAGUCUUCUCUCAUAGACGAGUAUUGUCUCUAGACGGAGGGGCGCUGCUCGUCAAGUAAAGUCUAAAACUCGUCAACACGCACGGCAAAGUCCUGGUCCUCGUCAACGUCCGACAGUGCCUUAGUCAAGAGUAGAGUAAACAAGACGUUACGUCAUCAGUGCGAGGUGUUAGAGUCAAGGACGAGAAACGAUGCGCCACGGAGACGCGAGCACCGGUGGAGUCUACCCUGUCAGAGUAAGGUAGAGAUGAAUCACAUCAAAGGAGGCGGCUCCGUGGUUACCCGGUUCCCCCAAGACACUGACAACCACCGGGACACAGAAGAAGUAGUCGAUAACGUCACGGUUUACGAGGUUCGAAAGUGCGAAGUUUAGGAUGCAGAGGGAACAGUCGUUACUUGUGAUAUCCUAGAGGAUGAGUUAGACCAUAACUAGUUGGACAUCCCCGUUUACACAGUGGGUACUUCCGCCGACUCAAAAGAUGAGAACCCGUCGGACCAUGUUGUAGUUCUCCACUGGUCAGGGCGUCUCCUCGUGUUCAAUCGAUGGACGUAGUAAAUAGGACAUCCUAAUAAAAUCGACCAGACCUCAGGUUAAACUUCGGUCGAUGAGUACGACACUAUAAGGUAGUAUACCAUUUAACCGAUCAGUUAACCCUGGUCUCUGGGGUACCGCACCUACUUCGACUAUGUCACGUUUGAAGAUCCUAGCCUUCCGGGCACGUACUUACCUACGUAGAUACGAAUCUGCACUAAACCUAAAAUCAACUACUUCUCUUUACAGCGUAAGGUAAGAUACUCGAACAAGCGUCGUUGAACGUCAAAGACCUCUUGUAAGGACUACUACUACGUCACUAAACGUAAUAAUACCUCUAGGUAUCCUCCUCCCUGUACCACACGUACGUGUACGUUUACAACCUGGUUGUGGAAGUGACGGGUUGUAAACCUUGAGUAGCCAAGAACAGUGUUAGGAUAGGUUCGUAUCGACCACUUAGACAACGAUUAAACGCAAUAAGAGGAUAAUGAAUAGGAUCACAAGACCCACUCGGUGACGUACCUCUCCUAGAACGUUUGAGAUAAGGUUUCCCCCCAAAUCUGACCCUUGCACGAGACGCAACGAACUCCGUACGAGAGGCGUGUUGAGGUAGUGGUCUAACCACCUCUGCACAAGAAGAACAACGAGGAACAAUGUCUAGUGUAAGAGUUUGUAGUUGUGGUCCUCGACAAAAGAGUGGUCUAUACUAACCACUCCGUCAACGACUGUCCUGUUAACUUGAUGACUUCAAUUGAUUGAGUCUUUGAGUCACGACCGUUCUAACCGAAAACAAACGUCUAUAGAAAAAGAAGGAUUACUUUUCACCGGCAUAACUAAAAGAGCUAAAACACCUGUUCGAACGUAGAGCUCAUUGUUUACCACUAGUUGUCUAAGAUGCGUCAUUAGUACAGUGUACCAACGAACGUGUCUAAUAGGCAUAACUCUAACACUACUUGUGUGAAUCAAGCCUGGGUUCCUUCCAACUUUGCUGUGCGUUCUAUUAAAGUAAGGUGUUUCUUCUGUUUUCGGAACUAGGAUUAUUGUAGUCGGGAGUUUCAUAAGAAGAACUAAAGUAUUCAUCGUCGGUCUGAAACGCGUAAACCAGAAAGUUGUGAAGUUAAUCUCUCGUAAACUUGUCGCUAGUCGAAGUUUUUCCGUUUGUCUAUCUACUCACCACCUUUGUCUACUGUUUUCGAAGUCCUCUCUCUUACUAUCUAAAAUACUUGAACCUACUCGCUCGUUACCCGUACAAAACCCAAGAGAGCAAGUGGUACCGUGUUGGUCGUACACUACGUCAGUACUGGACCAAAUGUAGUCGACCUCCCCGUCUUAAGUACGUCCCUGGGUUAUACGUUGGUUUACUUUCUCACUGCUACUACGUACUUUGAAUGGGAAACAGUUACCACAACGAAAGACCCAACAGAUAGUUGAACACAAACUUCGAACGAAUGGUCGAACUUCUCUGAUAUAAAGAACCGGUCCGACAAGGAUCGUAACGAUACCACCUUUGGAUGCAAUCCAACGACGAAUAUUGUGGUGUAAGUAACAAGGCGGGUGUAAAAUGUUGCAAUUGGGUUUCUAGCGGUAGAUAAGACUCGUUUAGACCACACAGAAACGAGGAUGAACUCUAAGACUUAAUGUCUGAUGAAGGAGACAUGUCCAUAGUGCCUUUUUCGUUCCGUAACUACAUACUACAGUGUUUUUAUUAUAGCUACUAAUUCCCUUUUGCACCUCUCGUAGCGGAAAAAUCUAAUCGACUUUUAAACACGUACUUGAAUUAAGAGAGUGACUCCCUGAAGAAAAACCACUUUUUUCUCAAUUUCCCUGGUUGACUCAAAUGACUUUGCGAAUUGGCGUAUUGGUAUUAUUCGGAACGCUAGUGGUAGUUCUGUGCACCUUAGCGGCUCCAACUUGUGUACCAAAUAGAAGUUGGUGAUAACCUCGUUUAAUACCGUUGGUCAGUCGUAUGUACCAGUCUUUUCUGAGAUGCAAUAAAAGGAGGGGAAUAAGCACUGAAAAAUUGCCAAUCCCGCCUAUUCUCCCCUGUUCGAUAGGUUCGUACCGUCGUCCGUCUUUGAUGACAAUAGUUAGUUACGUUGGUCGAUGACAGUGGUAGGCGACUCGGCUUGAUACAGUACUGAAUAAACUCGGUAUCAAAGGGAGUCGUAGCAGCUAUAGAUACGCGACCACGAACCUACGAUUACUUACCUGUAGGACUCUAGUUGUCGCGUUUAGAACGAGCACAGAACUCUCUCAAAAGUGGACUUCUUCAAUGCCGUUUAUAAAUAUGUUACCAACUACAAGAAGACGUAGUAUAGGUCGAACUCGAAGUUGCCCCCGUAGAUCACGUCCUAAAUGAAAGGUUUCGUUAGUGCUUAGAACGUAAGAAACAGACCUGUGUACUCAAUCAAGGUGACCUGUAACACGACGAUCGAGAAUAACUGUCCCUACUACUAGGAAUACGAAAUGCAGAACACUAUUCAGACGAACUUUCUGGACUUGAAGUCGUGUCUUAAUUUCGUAAGACGUCAAGAGCAAGAGGACUCGUAACCGAUUUUUUAGUUGGAGGUUUUUCUCGACUCGAGGUCUUUCGAGAACCAUUGGUAGAAAGUACCUUCCUGGCGAUAGGAGGGAAAAAACUACUGUAACGACGGGCGAACGAAGGUCAGUAGGGUGACUAUUAAAUAUCCGAAUAACUCUUACUACGAUGUCUAUAGCGUCUGUCCCAAGAGCGUAAAAUAAGAUGGAAAGAGCGAAAGGUGGGUGACUCUAAAUGUAAACACGCCCUAUAAGAACGUAUGAAGAUACCAGUAGAAGGUUCGUUCAAUUAACAGGCCUAGGAGUUGCACGACCCACAAUCGUGGUUCUGAGGAAAGAGUCUUAGGAAACGAGUUAUAAAUCCCAGAAGUUUAAGAAGAUAAACGGGUGGUGGUCUUAUAAAACGGUUGGAAAACGAUCCGGAACAAUUAUUACAGUAUGGAGGAAACUCAUCGUUCAGGUUUAGUUUGGGUCGUCUACGAAGACCGUCUGCGUGUUUAAAGUCGUUCGGAGUACGUAGAUGCGUUCGACCACCUUUAUCAUUGCGACUACGAGUCUCCCGUAAAAUAGUUUUAGUCCUAGGACCCAGUAUGUGUGUCGAACAAAACCUUUGUCGUCGAUAACUCUAAGAGAGUGAAAGACACGGUCGAAGAGUUUAUCACAGGAGAGAUCAAGUUAAUUAUCGAGUACAUGUUCGUUACGAAUAUGUCAGUUUAUGACCAGUUCCUUACAGACCACCAAACCCGGUUUUGAGACCCGACGGUUGAAGAGGAAGUCCACGGCCACGACUCAGCCGUCCACGGUCGGCUCCUUUGUGAAGUCGUUCACCUUAGUCGCGCUUGAAACAAAGAUCUUCACCGAUGAGAACAGUCGUCAACAGACAAAACUACUAAGUUCGUACACCGAAGAACGACCGUGUUGAGGGUGGUCUUAAAGUGUACGUUGAAAUGAGUCUUCGUCGAGCUUAGUAUUUUCUAACAGCAACCGAAAGACUGUCAAGCUCUGGACACUUUCUCGAAUUGAGUCGACAACCAAUGCGUGAAGACCUGGGUUGUACCCGAAGAGUUCUGUCAUGUAGCUGUCGGUAUCCAUUGUAACACCGGGAAGAUGUGAGUAAAAAAUCGUUAGAAGGAGUUCUCACCGACCUUAGAAGUGUAUGACAGUAGUUUGUAGAGGCCGGUCACUGAAGUCAACGGUACAACUCUUAACGGAAGGCGUAUAACCCGGGGAAUAACGGAGCAGAUCGGAAACGAGCUGGAGAUAAGUACUUCUGUGACCGAAACGACAAGUUACACAACCCCCUACACAAACCCUUCUUGAGAGUCCGGAGUGGAGUACACGGCCGUAGUCUUUAACCUCUGUAGUAGCUGAAGCACGUAGUACGGCAGUACAUACUUCCAGUUCCGCCGGGCCAAGUCUCAUGGUCGUUUGGAUUUCACCUCUAUGACUGUAACACGCCCUUUAACGACCUGGACGAAGCCGGGCUGCACGUCGUAGAGGACAGGGUGGAGUUCUGGCUAGGUUGGAGCAGCUAAAUGCGCCGCUGGGUAGGUUUCGAUCGCGUUGUUGUGGGUAGGAUUCGGUGUCGUGUUGUACCUACUACAUCUUAUCACAUGUGGACCUGACGACGCCGAACCGACUAAAGCGACAUGUCCGGACUCGCGGUUCGCCGAAAUUGGUCAAUUGAGCGACGGUCUGGCCUUGGACCUCAAACAGAGUUGCCAAUCCCCGUCUAACAGGCGACCUAGACACAACAUUGGGUAUAUAUACAUCGUCACCACAUCUAGCGCUGCAAAUAGUAGAUUUUCAAUCGAACAGACAGUUUCGUAUAAAUGACAGUUGAGGUACGUUCGCGAACACGUAAAGCAAGCAGCGAAGUACCGACGUUGAGUAACCGACCUCAACCGCCAUGGUUCAUGACGGGGAAAAGGAGACUACGACGUCACGUCCUGUGCCGAGCAAACCAGCUGCCAGUGGCAGUCCCCAAUGGGCAGCACUGUGGCUAGACUCGGCUCGUUCUUUCUCACGUAGCGUACGAACGUCCCAAACAGUGCCUCGUCCGCGGUUCCUGCCUGCCUGGGAACAGCGGCCACCGGUAGUCUGCGAGCGACCACAUGGGGCACAGGACUUGGCGCCUGCAGCGCAGUGUCACCGCACGACGCACGCUCCGUCGAAGAGACGCCAACCCCACCGGGCCUUUUAAAGCAAUAAAAGGUGCAAUUGUAUCGGGCGUGAGGACACGUUUGAUGUCAGUGGCUAACAUGACGACUGGCGCCCGUUCAGGUGGUCACAGUCGAUACGGAGCACUUGUAGUCACCAAUGAAGAGAUGUCAAAAGUAAAAAGUUGUC
rnacentral:rRNA from 1 species